rnacentral:misc_RNA from 1 species
UCUUACGCGGGUUCGCGACCGGC